CUGAGGCUGAAAUCGAACCCAGGUCUCUGGCACUGUGAAGCUGUAGUGCUAACCACUGAGCCAUUUCAGACAGACAGUAAUGGCCAGGCCAAAAGGAAUCCCAAUGUAACCUCAGGUCAGAAGAGUCCAAACCUUACUAAUUCCCCAAGAGAAUGCAAAGGUGAUAAAAUUGUGCUGCCACUUAUGAGAUGACAGCAACAUUUUUCAAUAAAAAUGUAAUGUGGGAGCACACCCAAUACCUAAUUUGAUAAUAGACAGCAUGUGACUGGGCAAUCAUGGCCAGAAAGUCCCAGGUAUGAUUUUGAAUUACUGCUGAUUCGACUGAUCUUAGAAGACCGUAAAUCACAAUAAGGCUACUGGAAGUGAGCCAGGUAAAACAGCAGGGGGUUCACUGUUAGAUAUUUAUCAAUGGAGUGUGCAUAUUUAGAUGUUGUAGAUUAACUUCCUUACUUUACUUUCAGGUUACUGCACCCUGAAAUCUCAAGGUAUUGCUUUUCUUGCAGUACUAGCUGUCUGCUACUUGAGAUGAUCCCACUGUUAGUAUGAACAAUUGCCUGUACAAUUUUGAAAUUGUCUUUCAAACUUAAUCUAAUAUUGCUGCAAAAAUAAGGUAAUAUCAGGCCGUCCAUAUGCAACAAACGAAAUUGCUCUAAAAAAAUCAACGUAUCUGGCAGCAUCUGUGGAGAGAAAACAGUUAACAUUCAGAGUCAAUCUGAAGAAGAAUGAAUGCAUUCAAAACAUUAACACUCCCUUCUCUCCACAGGUUGCUGGACUUGCUGAGUUUUUCCAGCACUUUCGAUUUUUCUUUCUUUUUGGAUCUCCAGCAUCUGCAGUUCCUUAUUUUAGUCCACAUGUGCAAAUCAGUCAUUGUAUUUUUUAACAAGCUUCAUCAUUUUUGCAGCAGUAUCAUGUACAAACAUCACAGCUGGCAACAGAGUUAGGUCAUUCAGUCCUUCGAACCUGUCCCACCAUUCAUCGAAAUCGUGGCCAAUCUGUUUGCAGUCUCAACCUUACUUUGCUGUCUGCCAGCCUUGUCAAUCAUAAAUCAGUGUCAUGUUGUUGUACUAGUGACCAUCAGAGGGCACCACAGUUCCAUGCAGGUGACCAUUUACUGGAUUAAGUUUCUUCAGUUGAUCAUUUUCUUGUUUUUGUUCUCAAGAUAUUUUCAUACACUUGUCAAAUUUCACCCUGAAGUGUACUACAAAAGAAAAUUGAAACAGUGACGUUAGAAAAGGUACUUAAGUGCUCUUAAAAAAUAAAAGUUUGGGAAAUUGAGGAAAAAGACAUGAAAUUGAAAACUUAAAACAAAUCAUAGAUUCAAUUUUAAUUUUAAUUUAUUUAAACAUUGUACACUUAAAGGAUGACAACAAUCAGCUUUGGGCUGAUGAGUAUUGGCAAGAAACAUCUUUUCAGGCCAAGAUAAUGCAAAUUGUUUCAAAAAGUGAUCUUGCAAACCAAUAGGCCAUUCUACCACUUGCAUGUGGCGUAAAAUGUAAUACACAGCUUUCCUGGAGCUGAUUAAACAAAUUACACCAAAAGUUCCUGCUGGGUUGCUCCAAUAAUUUCUGUUUUUGUUUCAGGUUUCCAGCAUCCACAGUUCUCCUCUAUUACCGCUCCAGUUGGUGUUUCAUGUCUUUGAAGAAUAUUUAUAUUCUGCAAACCAUAAAUAAUUAUUUUUAAUCAGUUUGAUAAAAUCCAAAUUCUGUAUUUGCAUUCUGCGAAUUAAGUGCAAGUUGCUAACAGUUGAUUUGUAGAGUGAUUUUGAUUCUCCCCUCUCUUUUCUGACGGCAUCACGUUGUACUUACAGACCAGGGGCUGAGAGAAAGCAGCUUGGUGCCCACCUACAUGGAGGAGCUUAACCACCUGGAGAUGCUACCUGACCUGAUGAGUAUUCCCAGAUUUUAUCUUUCUAUUUCAAUUGGAGAAGUUGCUUUUGUAUAAAGUACAUCAGACAGAAUGGAGCAGCAUUAGACAUUUAGGUUGUCAAGCUCAUAAUGAGUGCAAUCUACAUUGAUCAUGGAUGCUGCCCAGUCCAUACGCAGAGGACAAUAUGAUGGCAACAUAUUUAAUAUUUUUUGUGGACUUGUGUUUGAAGGAUUAUGGAUACAUGGAUUUUAAAGAGAUUAAUAAAGGAUCGUGGAACAUCCUUUUUACGAGAUUUUUAACUUAGAUAGCACAUUGAUCCAGGUAAUCAUCGGUCUUGAUUUUUUGGACUCACUUCAGAAAAAACAUCUGGCAACUUUUGCAGCAGAGUUUCAUAACUUUCUGUCUGAAAAAUAUUUUGCAUACUCAGAGGUGGUUUUAGAUUUCAGAAGGUGAAAGGGCUCAGCCCAAGCCUCCUGCUUCUGAAGAAUGCUAUAUCCUGAUUGUCCUCUUGGAGUGUGACUGGAAGAUUUCACAAUACUGUGUUUCCUGAUCAUGCUGUGUCUGCCUAGAUCCCAAAGUUAUUUGAUGAUGCUUGUGACACUGUCUACCAUAGUGCCAGACUUUCACCAACUAAGCAUUUCAUACCAUAUUCUUUUUGCAUUCAUGAACUAAAACUGCUUGAUUAAAAAUAUAUUUUCUCACAAUGAA